rnacentral:piRNA from 1 species
CUCACAAAGUAGAUCGAUUCC